ACUUAUGUACCAAUGGGAACAUCUUCAAACAACUCUUAACAAUAUACAAAAUAGCAAGGUCUCUACUGUCUUUAUCUUGUUCUUUAAUAUUUUUAGUUGUUGUUGAUACUUGAUCUGCACUUUCUUCAUUGAUAGGUUCUUAAGACUCCAAAUACAUGAUCUUUGAAACAACGUGUGCGCUAUUUUCCUUUCAACACAUUAAAGUAAAGACAGUGACGAUAUAUACCCAUGCCUGCAUGUGCUUGGUUGAAUGGGCUUUAGCAUAUGUUGCCUCAGGAUCGUCCCCAACAUUGAACAAUUGAAGAAGCUGAGAGCAGGCCGAUCAGACCAACUGGUUGAACUAUCACCGUUAAAUUUGAAGAGUUCAUUUUCAGUACUGCUAGUUGUAGAUAUUCAUAAUUCUUCUGUUGAUAGAGAAAGAAUACUCAAAGGUCAUUGAUUCCGGUAUCCAUAAGAAAACCGAUUCUUCAGAAAUCUAUAGAAGGCAAAAAUCACAUGGAAAUAGAGGGCACAAUUCGAUUUGCAUCUUUUAGGGUUACUCUGGGGUUGGGAGGAGGGA
rnacentral:misc_RNA from 1 species